GGCAGAGGUUGCAGUGAGCUGAAAUUGUGCCAUUGCACUUCAGCCUGGGCGACCAGGGUGAAACUCUAUCUCAAAAAAAAGAAAAAAAAAAGAAUUAUUACAGUUUGUCUCAGAGAUGUUUUGCAGGACAACCCGUGUAGAUGGACACCUGCACCCUCCUGGCACCCUCUGAAAGAGCCCUGCCCCUCCCUCUGCCCUGUCCAAUCUUCCUUCCCUUUUCCCACUUGCCCAACCCCAGUUGAUGUCUGUUAAGAUGCAGCCCUGGCUAUUUUUGGAGGAAAGGCAAAGAACAUUUAUCAAACUCUUUACAUGUGCCAGACAUGGUCCCAGAGCUUUAGAUACAUUUUUUCAUUGAGAGGUUAUAGCACCCCUCCACACCAAGAGGUGUGGUAUUAUUUUAUCUUUCCCAUUUUACAGAUGAGCAAACUGAGACUUGAGGAGUGGAUAGUGACUUGUUGACCAGUGGCCUGGCUGCAUGAUCCAGGCACAGUUGGAUCUAGGCCUGGCUGCAUGACCGCAGGCACAGCUGUUGGAGGUUGAAGCAGCUGGCAGCAGACAGGCCAGAGGGUAUUUGUGUGUGUGUGCGCAGGUGCACACAUAUGUGGAUGUGCACUCCUGUGUAUACACGCAUGGGGCAGGGCUGGGGUUGGAGGUGCUGCAGGAACAGGUGUUGGGGCUGAGUGUGGAGCUCUCGGGAGGUGGCACUGAGGAGUCGGGCAGUUGUCCUGCACGUGGCAAUUUUCUGUAGGAAAGUGUGUGGUCAGGAAUGUAUUCUGGAAGCCUUUCCUGGAGAGGAGUUUGGAGGAUGGCUUUUGGGAUGGAGGAGUAGAGGGGUGGACCAGAGGAAGGAUCCCAGGUUUUGGCAGGUGAAUACACAUCGAGUGGACCGAGGAUGUGCCGGAAACAUGCUGGCCCUGGAGCGAGAAGGGCUCAGAAGACAGGGCCCUGUGUGUGGGUGGGUGGAGGUUUAAAACUGGACACAAGUCUGUAUCAUAGAACUGCCCCUGUGGGUGUGUUGUAUUUGUGCGUGUUUGUGUGUACCUGUGUGUGUGUGUGUGUGUGUGUGUGUGUGUGUAUGAGCAUGGGUGUGGGGGACAUUUUGCCCAUUAGAGGGGAUCCCUGGACUGAUGGAAAGUAAGAGGAAUAAUGUCCUUUGAUGAAAGGUCCGUCUCCUUGUGUGACCCAUGUCCUUGGUGCACAGAUGCUCACCGAAUCUCCACUCUUGGAUGGAGAUGCGUGCUGGGGAGGCUUCUGCUUGCUGCUGUGUGGACUCUGGUAGAUGCUGUCCCUCCAAAGGGCAAUCUCUGAUGGAAGGUGGAGGAGCAGGAGAAGGUCAGUGUGAAGCCUGGAGCUUCCAAAAGGGUAGGCAGAGAGGAUAGCCUGUCAUGCUGAUUACUUCCAAGUAAUGUAGCAGAUCUGUAAUUAUAAUAUGAGGUCAUCUUAAUUUGAAUGAUGUAAAAUAAUGUCUAAUUAGACACCAUCUCAUCUUUUAGAGACUUGCCAUAGUUCAAAUGGAAAACCUUUCAACUUCUUGGUGGUGAGCUUUGAAAAUCUCAUCCUCUCUCAAGUCUCUCUCUCCCCUUGCCAGCCCUGUAGUCACUGGCCUCCAGCGGCUUGCAGCCUGUGUACUGGCACUCCUUGGCUCGUCUGCCAGGCAGAGGGAGAGGCAGGGCUGGAGGUGGCCUCUGGAGGAGCCAGCAGGGAUUUGGAGGCGGCCAGACUCCCCCCUUCUCUCAGGGAAACUCCUUUUCCUGGGAAAAAGUGUUAUAGAGGAUGGAAGACUCACAUUAGGAACCAAGACACCUGGGCUUCAACCCGGGACAGCCUCCAAACCACAGACCCUCCUGUGAACACCCCGCCUCUCUGACCCUCGGACUCUUCAUCUGUGACUUGGAACACAGGUGGUGCUAGUCUGCGAGAGGAGGUGAAGGAGGAAGGCUGGAAUGGAGCAAUGUUUCUUAACAUUUUUGGAAGCCUCAUUGCUCUUCAAGUUGGGCUGAAGGGUUUCGCUGCCAAAAUCAAGUCAUGACAUUUCCCCCUGGCUUGUAGGAACAAGGACAUCAAAAGCUACCAAUGGCAAAUGUCUCCAUGUUCUCCACUUGCCAUCUCGGGGGCCUGCAGCACACUCGGACCUUGCCAGGCUUCUCUGAGCACCCUGGGAGUCAGUCCACCCUGCUUGCCCCUUGUCACCUCCUGCCCAGAUUGUACCGUUGGACUUUUCCACAAGUGGCCUCUGGCUGAGAGGAUCUCAGCAUCUCUGCUGGCCCUGCUCUUUCAGUCUGGCCUCUCCCCAAGUGUGACUGAGCCCCUCCCUGCGUCCCCAGGCAGCCAUCUUCAACAGCUUUACUGAGGAGGAUUACAUCCCCUCCUGGAGCCUGCCUGCUGUGCCAACCUUUUAGAGGGUGCUGGUGGGGGUGUUUCCUCACUGCCUUGGGGGUGGGGAGCAGGGCCUGCUCUUCUGUUCCCUCCCCACCUUGUCUUCACUCCUGUCCCCUGUCUUGCCUUUUACAUGUGAAGCAGAGCACCUAAAACCUCACACUGAGAAAUCUGCAUUUAGGGCAGUUCACCUUUUAGUGCUUCCCCCAUAUAACGGGAAAUACUCAAAUACUCCGGCCCACAUCUGCAUGAAUUAAAAGGCUCAUCUAAGAGAAAGUCUUUCCAGAGGACAGAGUUCUCUCUCAGAAUGCAAAAAGUGGGUACAUUUACCAAAAACAGGCUAAUUGGUGAUGCAAGUUGGCUAGGUCUCCCUCUGGAAUAGAACGUUCUCCAUUUUAAGUUUCUCUUUCAUAAGUGUGUCAAUUAAAAAUUUAAAAUCGUGUUAAAACACACGUAACAUAAAAAUGACCAUCUUAACCAUUUGUAAGUGUGCUGUUCAGAGGCAUUAAGUUUCUCUUCUAUAAUUUUUAAUACCUUGGGA
rnacentral:lncRNA from 10 species